UCCUCAGGCAGGAUAUUCCUUAUCUGAUCCUCUAUUCAGAGGGCAGAUAGAGCAUGGCGAUUGGAGUUCGCAUGAUUCAUGAUUAAUGUCUCUGCGUGAUUAGGGCAUAUCCUAGUUGUUCUUAUCUGAU